rnacentral:rRNA from 1 species
UUCGUAGGUGGCCAACUAAGUCAGACGUGAAAUCCCUCAGCUUAACUGGGGAACUGCGUCUGAUACUGGUUGGCUUGAGUGCAGGAGAGGAACGCGGAAUUCCAGGUGUAGCGGUGAAAUGCGUAGAUAUCUGGAGGAACACCGGUGGCGAAGGCGGCGUUCUGGACUGCAACUGACACUGAGGAACGAAAGCCAGGGAGCAAACG